rnacentral:tRNA from 1 species
UGUAAAUGUAGCUUAGUGGUAGAAUACUUGGCCUAUCAUGUAUGAGGCCUUGGGUUCAAUCCGCAACAUUGCAA